GACGAACGCUGGCGGCGUGCUUAACACAUGCAAGUCGAACGGAAAGGCCCUGCUUUUGUGGGGUGCUCGAGUGGCGAACGGGUGAGUAACACGUGAGUAACCUGCCCUUGACUUUGGGAUAACUUCAGGAAACUGGGGCUAUUACCGGAUAGGAGCUCCUGCUGCAUGGUGGGGGUUGGAAAGUUUCGGCGGUUGGGGAUGGACUCGCGGCUUAUCAGCUUGUUGGUGGGGUAGUGGCUUACCAAGGCUUUGACGGGUAGCCGGCCUGGGAGGGUGACCGGCCACAUUGGGACUGAGAUACGGCCCAGACUCCUACGGGAGGCAGCAGUGGGGAAUAUUGCACAAUGGGCGGAAGCCUGAUGCAGCAACGCCGCGUGCGGGAUGACGGCCUUCGGGUUGUAAACCGCUUUCGCCUGUGACGAAGCGUGAGUGACGGUAAUGGGUAAAGAAGCACCGGCUAACUACGUG
rnacentral:rRNA from 1 species